rnacentral:rRNA from 1 species
AGUGAACGCUGGCGGUAGGCCUAACACAUGCAAGUCGAACGGCAGCACAGUAAGAGCUUGCUCUUACGGGUGGCGAGUGGCGGACGAGUGAGGAAUACAUCGGAAUCUACUUUUUCGUGGGGGAUAGCGUAGGGAAACUUACGCUAAUACCGCAUACGACCUACGGGUGAAAGCAGGGGAUCUUCGGACCUUGCGCGAUUGAAUGAGCCGAUGUCGGAUUAGCUAGUUGGCGGGGUAAAGGCCCACCAAGGCGACGAUCCGUAGCUGGUCUGAGAGGAUGAUCAGCCACACUGGAACUGAGACACGGUCCAGACUCCUACGGGAGGCAGCAGUGGGGAAUAUUGGACAAUGGGCGAAAGCCUGAUCCAGCCAUACCGCGUGGGUGAAGAAGGCCUUCGGGUUGUAAAGCCCUUUUGUUGGGAAAGAAAAGCAGCAGGUUAAUACCCCGCUGUUCUGACGGUACCCAAAGAAUAAGCACCGGCUAACUUCGUG